GUGAGGAAUAUUGCGCAAUGGAGGCAACUCUGACGCAGCCAUGCCGCGUGCAGGAAGAAGGCGCUACGCGUUGUAAACUGCUUUUAACCGGGAAGAAACCCCAGGACGUGUCCUGGGUUGACGGUACCGGAGGAAUAAGCACCGGCUAACUUCGUGCCAGCAGCCGCGGUAAUACGAAGGGUGCAAGCGUUAUCCGGAUUCAUUGGGUUUAAAGGGUGCGUAGGCGGAGCGGUAAGUCAGGGGUGAAAUCCUGCAGCUUAACUGUAGACUUGCCAUUGAUACUGGCGCUCUUGAGUGCGCUUGAAGUGGGCGGAAUGUGCCGUGUAGCGGUGAAAUGCUUAGAUAUGGCACAGAACACCAAUUGCGAAGGCAGCUCACUAAGGCGAUACUGACGCUGAGGCACGAAAGCGUGGGGAUCGAACAGGAUUAGAAACCCUUGUAGUCC
rnacentral:rRNA from 1 species